rnacentral:snRNA from 1 species
AGCUUUGCACAGUGGCAGUAUCAUAACCAAUGAAUUAAUCUGAGGUGUGAUUAUUGCUACUUGAAAAUCUGCUCCUCUCCCCCUUCCUGGUGGUAGAUGGUACAGUACUACUGUAGACAGCAGAAACUG